ensembl:lncRNA
UUCGUAUAGGUCUUCGUUUGUGUCUCACUGGUCCACGGUCUCUUCUAGACCCAGACGUCCUCCUUUCCCUGCACAAAGAGACAGGAAUCUACAGCACUGGAGGAGCGACUGGACCCUUUACCAUGCGCAUAGUCGACAUAAAGAAUGUGACGUCUGCACCGUGAGAUUUCAUCAUCCACGGUUUAGCCGGGAGCUGUUGGGAGAAAUGUUAAAUUAGUUAAUUAAACGUAUAGAUCAAAAGCUUAAAAUCAGUAUUUGGGUGUUUUGUGUUUAGUUAUCGAUUAAAGAUUAACUUUAAAAUUAAUUCCACCCACCGAUUGAUCCCGCCCAUUCAGUGGCUCAGCCAAUCGGAAUGGACGGGAGCCCUCAUUCCCACCCUUCCUAUUUGCUCCUGGCGGCCGUGAGGAAGUUUUGUGCGCGUCGCCGGUCAGUGGUGGUGAAUGGGCGGAUGGAUGGAUUCAUUGUAAAAUAAUGGGAUUCGCGCAGCCCUGAUUGCGCAACGAUGGCAGACUCGGCCUCCCUGGAGGUCCUGGCGGCCGAAGAGGAGAGGGAGUUUCAGAAUAUUUUAACUAUGAUCGGAGGCAAAGAGAGGAUUUAUUUGGUCGGCGACGCCAACGGAGGUAAGUGCGCGGAUGAGGAUGGAGCUGCGGCGCUGCAGGAGUUCCUACGUGACAUGUUUCACGGCGCGGAAAGCAACGGACAGCCCCGCUCCUCGCCCUCGGGCGGUCGCGGGGAUCACGCGAGCGCAGCCCACGCUCCUUCGAGUACCGAGCCGGUUAAAUGCGGCGACGUCUGCGUAAGAGUGAAGCCGGAGGACCGCGACGUGAGAUCCAGCCCGGCGGCACAGGACACGCAGAAUGACACGCGGCCGUCACGCAACGGAAGCGCGCGACUGUGUUUGAAGGAGAUCCUGAAGGACGUGAAGGCGCGCACGAAAGUUGCCACGGGUCCCCGACCGGCUUUGAUCGGAUUAAUACGCACCAGACAGGAAAACGCCGAGUCGCGUCGCAGCGCGCAGAUCCUGGAGCGUCUGAUCCGCUCUGUGUUCCACAAACAUCCUCCAGAGACAAUAUGGGUCGACUGUUUCAUCCCGAAGAACGAGGCCAACAUGCUCAGCAUCAAGAAGAACACCUGCCAAGUCAUAUCGUCGUCACAAACCGCAGAUAAUACCAGGGAUGAUGGGAGUCUGCUGUUUUGGCCAAUCCAAUGUUUGCCCUGGCCCCAGAGAAGAGGAGCCGGAGACCAGGGCAAUGACACUUCAGCCAGCAGUCAGAGAGGUUGCACUGGAACUGCAGAAGAAAACAUUCCGCUGAAAGCCAGUUCUUCUUCUGCUGUUCGUCAUGUGGAUGGGGGACCAGCUAGAGAGGACAGCUGAAGUCCUCACACAUGACCAGUGGCUGCAGGCCUAACACUGUGGACAAUCUUUUUUCCUUUUUAACCAUAAAAACAAUGGUUAGCAUUAUGGUGCCAGAGAACCUACAGGUUACGGUGUUAAUUCACGGUGCUCAAUAUUCUCACGGUGGAGCCAGCAUAACUCUUACCUUAUGCAGUAUGUUGUGAAUGUGGUCAUCAUCUCACCUAUGAGUUCUCUCGGUUGUACUAUGGCAGUCAUAAUAGGUUUUACGUAUUGUAGAAUUGUCCUGUUAAUUAUGCCACUGUUUUUGCUCCAUUUAUUGGACAUGUUUGUGCCAUGAAAGUACAGUAUCAACCUAUGAAGUGGGUCCUACACUGAGGCCAAAGUCUGGCUGUAUCUACUGACAGAAAACACCCAUCCAAAUGUUUUCAGGUUCAUGGUGAAGCUGUGUGAUGUUUGACCUUUUUUUCUUUUGCUUUAGCGGAUUUUAGUGCCUUAGAUGAAUGAUUUUGACAACUGCACUAUCUGUAGCUAAAGAAAACGGCGCAGACCGGUUUCUACUCUCUUGUACUGUAGGCUAUGAAGUUUGUAAUAAAACUGAAGGAAUUACAACA